rnacentral:rRNA from 1 species
CCCUUAGAUGUUCUGGGCGGCCCGCGCACUACAAUGGCGUGUGCAGCGAGUGCCGAAGUAGAGUUUUCCGAGGUAUUCUUGCAAUGCUCGUUUUGAUGGGGAUAGACCCUUGCAACUGUUGGUUUUGAACGAGGAAUUCCUUGUAAGCAUGGUUUAUCAUCCGACGCUGAAUGCGUCCCUGCCCUUUGCACACACCGCCCGUCGCUCCUACCGAUGAGUCGUCCGGUGAAGUUCGUAGACCUCGUGAUCGCGGAUCACUGGGGGAAGCAAAAUGAACCUCGCGGUUUAGAGGAAGGAGAAGUCGUAACA